UCUGCCAUCACUACUGCAGCAACCUAGUCUGCAUGCCAGCACCUCUCUGCUGACAACUCCUUCACUGUGGAGGACAUGAACAAAUACAGCAACAGAAUUCACAGAGGGACCCAAGAUGAAUGCAAGCAAGAAUGAGCAAGAUGAUAGUAAAAUGUGUAUUGGAGGUUUGAGCUGGGGGAAAGAAUCCCCCAAAAAGGGUUUUGUGGGUGGAUUGAGCCCAGAAACUUCUGAAAAACAAAUUAAAGAAUAUAUUGGAGCCUUUGGAAAGUUUGAAAAUAUUGAAAUUCCCAUGGAUACAAAAACAAAUAAAAGAAGAUUUUGUUUUCUCACAUAUAUAGAUGAAGAGCCAGUAACGAAAUUGUUAGACAGCAGAUUAUUAUCAAAUUGGUUCUGGGAAGUGUUAAAUCAAAGUUGCACAACCCAAAGAGAUAUAGAAGCUGCAACACCAAAACAAAAAGGAAGAACAGGUGCUGCAACCAGUGAAUGAGGGGGCCCUAGGGGGUCGUGACCAAGGUCAAGGCAUAAUUGGAAUCAAUGAUCUAGUGACUACUAUGAUCGCGGAUAUGGGAAUUACAAUAGUGCCUAUGGUGGUGAUCAAAACUGUAGUGGCUAUGGCAGAUAUGAUCAUGCUGGGUAUAACUAUAGGAACCAUGACUAUGCACAGGUGUAUGCAGACUAUAGUGGCCAAGAGAGCACUUAUGGCAAGGCAUCUCCAGGGGGUCGCAAUCACCAAAACAAUCACCAGCCAUAC
rnacentral:lncRNA from 1 species